CUCGUUCUUUCCCUCGGUUUUUCAAAUCUGGCCAAAAUAUUGACCAGCAGGGAGCAGAACGUGCGGCACCCAAAUGUGUGUCCAUGAAGAAUAACCCAUUUCGAGAAAAUUAUAGGAUGGUGAAGAGAAGAACGCCUCUCUGUGUAGUUCAUCAGCAGAGCUCAGAAGUUCCCAGCAGUCAAAGUGUCCAUGUGCCUCAACCAGACCUGGACUCCAUUUUUCAGGUGAGUGA